GGGCGAGUGGCGGAAUUGGCAGACGCGCCAGACUUAGGAUCUGGUGCCGAAAGGCUUGGAGGUUCGAGUCCUCUCUCGCCCA
rnacentral:tRNA from 1 species